UACAGAGGUCUCAAGCGUUGUUCGGAUUCAUUGGGCGUAAAGGGUGCGUAGGUGGCGAGGUAAGUCGGAUGUGAAAUCCCGGGGCUUAACCCCGGAACUGCAUUCGAUACUGCCUUGCUGGAGUACUGGAGAGGAGACUGGAAUUCACGGUGUAGCAGUGAAAUGCGUAGAUAUCGUAAGGAAGACCAGUGGCGAAGGCGAGUCUCUGGACAGUUACUGACACUGAGGCACGAAGGCCAGGGGAGCAAAC
rnacentral:rRNA from 1 species